AUUGAACGCUGGCGGCAUGCCUUACACAUGCAAGUCGAGCGGAGUGGCGGACGGGUGAGUAAUGUAUCGGAACGUGCCCAGUAGCGGGGGAUAACUACCCGAAAGCGUAGCUAAUACCGCAUACUAUUGGAUCAGCCGAGGUCGGAUUAGCUAGUUGGUGGGGUAACGGCCCACCAAGGCGACGAUCCGUAACUGGUUUGAGAGGACGACCAGCCACACUGGAAUUGAGACACGGCCCAGACUCCUACGGGAGGCAGCAGUGGGGAAUAUUGGACAAGGGGGGAAACCCUGAUCCAGCCAUCCCGCGUGUGCGAAGAAGGCCUUCGGGUUGUAAAGCACUUUUGGUAGGAAAGCGGUACCUGCAGAAUAAGCACCGGCUAACUACGUGCCAGCCGCCGCGGUAAUAC
rnacentral:rRNA from 1 species